GGGGACGACAAGGUUUCGACGGGAGUUACAAAACAGUUCGGUCAUGUCAAGGCUUCAGUUACCUUGUAAAAAAACUGUAAAUUGUUAUAUCUGCAAAUGAUGAUAACUACGCUCUAGCUGCCUAAUACCGGCUAGACUCCGCACCAGUUCUCUCACGGGCUGGACUGGAUUUCCAGUAGCGGAGCCAUAUUCGUGAGAUCGUGCCUUCAGGGGUCACCUCUUAAGGCAUUAAAAUCUCGGUGACUCGGUCCGUAAAAGCCUGUCGGUCGGCGUUUAUUGACUAAAACUAAUUGACCAAUACUAAACAUGUAGAGCCGCCUGUGGAGGGCUUUCGGACGCGGGUUCGAUUCCCGCCGUCUCCACCA
rnacentral:tmRNA from 1 species